UGGAGGGAAGAAACAGAGCGAGCUACGCUGCGGGAGCGCAGUUACCAGCCGGCUGCGGUCACGUGCCUGGGAGGAGGAGCUGAGACCUCACGGGAGGGGCGCGCGGUAGCGUCCCGGGUCCCCUAGCAGGGCUCUGGAGACCACGUGAAGUCUCCUCGGAGCUGGUGUAGUGAAGGAUGAAGAGAAGGCAAUGCAUUGGUUUAGACAAGCCUCCUAGCAGGACCAUCCUGGUGCUGCCUUUAACCUUGCAGUAGGAACACUGAAAAACAUGACUGGCUCCAUGGAAGCAGGGGAUGUAGAAAUGCUCCUUAAUGUUGCUGCAAAACGGGGGAUCCAAGAAGCCCAAGAACUUCUGGAGAAUGUUAUUUGGACUAAAAGCAAGCUCUUGCCAACUGAAAGAACCGGGAGUUCUUAUAAACCAUAAUGUGUGCCUGCAUGCUCUUCCUGGAACAUGGGAUGUUCUGCUCUC
rnacentral:antisense_RNA from 1 species